UUCCGGUUGAUCCUGCCGGACCUGACUGCUAUCGGAUUGAUACUAAGCCAUGCGAGUCAUUGUAGCAAUACAAGGCAUACGGCUCAGUAACGCGUAGUCAACCUAACCUAUGGACGGGAAUAACCUCGGGAAACUGAGAAUAAUGCCCGAUAGAACAUUAUGCCUGGAAUGGUUUAUGUUCCAAAUGAUUUAUCGCCAUAGGAUGGGACUGCGGCCUAUCAGUUUGUUGGUGAGGUAAUGGCCCACCAAGACUAUUACAGGUACAGGCUCUGAGAGGAGUAGCCCGGAGAUGGGUACUGAGACACGGACCCAGGCCCUAUGGGGCGCAGCAGGCGAGAAAACUUUGCAAUGUGCGAAAGCACGACAAGGUUAAUCCGAGUGAUUUCUGCUAAAGAGAUCUUUUGUUAGUCCUAGAAACACUAACGAAUAAGGGGUGGGCAAGUUCUGGUGUCAGCCGCCGCGGUAAAACCAGCACCUCAAGUGGUCAGGAUGAUUAUUGGGCCUAAAGCAUCCGUAGCCGGCUCUGUAAGUUUUCGGUUAAAUCUGUACGCUCAACGUACAGGCUGCCGGGAAUACUGCAGAACUAGGGAGUGGGAGAGGUAGACGGUACUCGGUAGGAAGUGGUAAAAUGCUUUGAUCUAUCGAUGACCACCUGUGGCGAAGCCGGUCUACCAGAACACGUCCGACGGUGAGGGAUGAAAGCUGGGGGAGCAAACCGGAUUAGAUACCCGGGUAGUCCCAGCUGUAAACUAUGCAAACUCAGUGAUGCAUUGGCUUGUGGCCAAUGCAGUGCUGCAGGGAAGCCGUUAAGUUUGCCGCCUGGGAAGUACGUACGCAAGUAUGAAACUUAAAGGAAUUGGCGGGGGAGCACCACAAGGGGUGAAGCCUGCGGUUCAAUUGGAUUCAACGCCGGG
rnacentral:rRNA from 1 species